GUCACUUUUACAUUUUUUUUUUAAUAAAGAUAGAAGAUUACAAAAGCCAUAUUUUAUCAUGGCAAGGAUGAAAGAACAAAGUUCAUUUACAUCUAAAGGAAUCCUCUCUCAAGAACUUUGUGGCUAAAGCAUGUGCUGUACUAUUACAAAACCUUUGCACAACAGAGAACUGAACCUCUCGUAGCAAACUGGCAAUCCCUUAAGCAUCUUGAUUAGCACCUUGUACUGGGGAAUUAUGUCCUCGCAGGACAUUAAUCACCAUUAUAGAAUCACCUUCAAAUAUAAUGUUUGAAGGAUUAAGCUAGAAGAACGGCCUCACGACUUGCUAACCCUUCAAGCUGCAAAAGAUCACUUAUAAAUGGCCAAAAUUUACAGCACCAAUUAACUAUUCUUUCCCGAUGAUCCAAUUGUAGUCGCCCUUCUAUUUCUCUUAUUAUCUACUGCUGCGCCGAAGUUUAAUUUGAACCAUUUGCUUGGAGGUGGUGACCAAUCCUGGGGAUGAACCAUCGAAUUCCCAAGCACUUGUGUACCCGCCACUGAUGCAACCGCCUUGAAUUCCUCAUGCAGCUUUGACGCAAGGUGCAGGACUUCUUGAAAAUUCUGUUGCACAUCAUUAAAGACUAAAGCAUUUCUGCUUUUCUAGAUAGCCCAUGGAAUGAACGCCACCAACUGAUGCAAAUCCUCUCCCUGAUCACUGGAAGCCACAACAGAGCCCAAUUCCUCCCAGCAGUCUAUCAAGUUUGAGUGACCAAGAAGGGAUGAUCGUAGACGCAGUGGGGUAUGUAACCAUACUGC
rnacentral:misc_RNA from 1 species